rnacentral:rRNA from 1 species
GCAAGUCGAGCGAAUGACGAGGAGCUUGCUCCUCUGAUUUAGCGGCGGUCGGGUGAGUAACACGUGGGUAACCUGCCUGUAAGACGGGAUAACUCCGGGAAACCGGAGCUAAUACCGGAUGAUAACGAGAAGCGCCUGCUUCUUUUUUGAAAGUCGGUUUCGGCUGACGCUUACAGAUGGGCCCGCGGCGCAUUAACUAGUUGGUGAGGUAACGGCUCACCAAGGCGACGAUGCGUAGCCGACCUGAGAGGGUGAUCGGCCACACUGGGACUGAGACACGGCCCAGACUCCUACGGGAGGCAGCAGUAGGGAAUCUUCGGCAAUGGACGAAAGUCUGACCGAGCAACGCCGCGUGAGCGAUGAAGGCCUUCGGGUCGUAAAGCUCUGUUGUCAGAGAAGAACAAGUACCGGAGUAACUGCCGGUACCUUGACGGUACCUGACCAGAAAGCCACGGCUAACUACGUGCCAGCAGCCGCGGUAAUAC